rnacentral:rRNA from 1 species
GGCCUAACACAUGCAAGUCGAGCGGAUGAGGGAAGCUUGCUUCCCGAUUUAGCGGCGGACGGGUGAGUAAUGCCUAGGAAUCUGCCUAUUAGUGGGGGAUAACGUUCCGAAAGGAACGCUAAUACCGCAUACGUCCUACGGGAGAAAGUGGGGGAUCUUCGGACCUCACGCUAAUAGAUGAGCCUAGGUCGGAUUAGCUAGUUGGUGGGGUAACGGCUCACCAAGGCGACGAUCCGUAGCUGGUCUGAGAGGAUGAUCAGCCACACUGGAACUGAGACACGGUCCAGACUCCUACGGGAGGCAGCAGUGGGGAAUAUUGGACAAUGGGCGAAAGCCUGAUCCAGCCAUGCCGCGUGUGUGAAGAAGGUCUUCGGAUUGUAAAGCACUUUAAGUUGGGAGGAAGGGUUGUAAGCUAAUAUCUUGCAGCUUUGACGUUACCAACAGAAUAAGCACCGGCUAACUCUGUGCCAGCAGCCGCGGUAAUACAGAGGGUGCAAGCGUUAAUCGGAAUUACUGGGCGUAAAGCGCGCGUAGGCGGCUUAGUAAGUUGGAUGUGAAAGCCCCCGGGCUCAACCUGGGAACUGCAUCCAAACUGCUUGGCUAGAGUACAGU